GAACUGCGAUAAGUAAUGUGAAUUGCAGAAUUCAGUGAAUCAUCGAGUCUUUGAACGCACAUUGCGCCCCCUGGCAUUCCGGGGGUCAUGCCUGUCCGAGCGUCAUUGCUGCCCUUCAAGCCCGGCUUGUGUGUUGGGUCGUCGUCCCCUCCGGGGGACGGGCCCGAAAGGCAGCGGCGGCACCGCGUCCGGUCCUCGAGCGUAUGGGGCUUUGUCACCCGCUCGAUAAGGACCGGCCGGGCGCCAGCCGGCGUCUCCAACCUUUUUUUCUCAGGUUGACCUCGGAUCAGGUAGGGAUACCCGCUGAACUUAAGC
rnacentral:misc_RNA from 1 species